GUGUUCACUAUGGCAUAUACUAGUACUAAAAUUGGAGUGAUACCGAGAAGAGGUAAGCAUGGGCCCUGUACAAGAAGGACACUCAAAUUCAUGAAGCGUUUCAUAUUUUU
ensembl:snRNA U6 U6 spliceosomal RNA